GGCUCAAUGGUCUAGAGGUAUGAUUCUCGCUUUGGGUGCGAGAGGCCCGGGUUCGAUCCCCGGUUGAGCCC
rnacentral:tRNA from 1 species